AUUGAACGCUGGCGGCAUGCCUAACACAUGCUAGUCGAACGGGGCAGCAAUGCCUAGUGGCGGACGGGUGAGGAAUACGUAGGAAUCUGCCCUUAAGUGGGGGAUAACCAGGGGAAACCCUGACUAAUACCGCAUGAUCUCUUCGGAGCAAAGAGGGGGACCGCAAGGCCUCUCGCUUCUGGAUGAGCCUCCGUCUGAUUAGCUAGUUGGUAGGGUAAAGGCCUACCAAGGCGACGAUCAGUAACUGGUCUGAGAGGAUGAUCAGUCACACCGGAACUGGGACACGGUCCGGACUCCUACGGGAGGCAGCAGUGGGGAAUAUUGGACAAUGGGCGCAAGCCUGAUCCAGCAAUGCCGCGUGUGUGAAGAAGGCCUUCGGGUUGUAAAGCACUUUAGCCUGGAAAGAAAAAACUUUGGUUAACACCCAAAGUCUUGACGGUACCAGGAGAAUAAGCACCGGCUAACUCUGUGCCAGCCGCCGCUGUAAGAC
rnacentral:rRNA from 1 species